AUUGAACGCUGGCGGCAGGCCUAACACAUGCAAGUCGAGCGGAUGAAGGGAGCUUGCUCCUGGAUUCAGCGGCGGACGGGUGAGUAAUGCCUAGGAAUCUGCCUUGUAGUGGGGGAUAACGUCCGGAAACGGGCGCUAAUACCGCAUACGUCCUGAGGGAGAAAGUGGGGGAUCUUCGGACCUCACGCUAUCAGCUGAGCCUAGGUCGGAUUAGCUAGUUGGUGGGGUAAAGGCCUACCAAGGCGACGAUCCGUAACUGGUCUGAGAGGGUGAUCAGUCACACUGGAACUGAGACACGGUCCAGACUCCUACGGGAGGCAGCAGUGGGGAAUAUUGGACAAUGGGCGAAAGCCUGAUCCAGCAAUGCCGCGUGUGUGAAGAAGGUCUUCGGAUUGUAAAGCACUUUAAGUUGGGAGGAAGGGAAGUAAGUUAAUACCUGGCUGUUUUGACGGUACCAACAGAAUAAGCACCGGCUAACUUCGUG
rnacentral:rRNA from 1 species